rnacentral:piRNA from 1 species
UGCAUAAAUUUAUGGAAUCCUCACAACAAC